rnacentral:tRNA from 1 species
AAGUAUAAAGCAAAAAAAGCAAUUAGUUUCGACCUAAUAAAAUGAAAAACUCAUUUACUUU